rnacentral:rRNA from 1 species
GUCAACGGUCACAGCGGAGGGGCAACACCUGAUCUCAUUCCGAACUCAGAAGUUAAGACCUCCAGCGAUCCGGGCAGUACUGCAUAAUAUGUGGGAGUCCCGGGACGCUGUUGACA